GUUUUAUCCAGAACAGGCAGCUGCUCCUCACUCUUGUAUCCUAUUAUCACUGGGAUUCUGGUUGGAUGCUGCUCUCCGAUAAGUGAGACAUCUACUCUUUGUCUUAAGUGGUGAGCAAUUUGAUGUAAUUCAUAUGUCAGCAAGAUCACCUUAAAAAGAUCUGGUGGUCAGACCUUGGUGGGCAAGAGUGCCGAACUCUGGUAAGAUAAGGCCAGAGAAAUGAAAAAUUGUAUCUCUUUCUACACUUUGAAAUGUAUUUGUCUGAGAAAAAAUUAAGAGCCACAGUCAAGACAUGCAUUCUGUAGAUCAUCACAUGCUCUUUAAUUCCCCGUACUUUUUUUAGCCAGCCUAAUUUACACAUUUUUGUUAUUGAAAUGACUAAGGAUGGCAUUUGAAGUUGC
rnacentral:lncRNA from 1 species